rnacentral:rRNA from 1 species
AGAAUCAACGCUGGCGGCGUGCCUAACACAUGCAAGUCGAACGAGAAAGUGGAGCAAUCCAUUAGUAAAGUGGCGCACGGGUGAGUAACACGUGACUAACCUACCCUUGAGUGGGGGAUAACCUAGAGAAAUCUGGGCUAAUACCGCAUAAUACCUUCGGGUCAAAGGAGCAAUUCGCUUAAGGGAGGGGGUCGCGGCCGAUUAGUUAGUUGGCGGGGUAAUGGCCCACCAAGACUAUGAUCGGUA